GGACUACAGGAUUAUGUAGAGGAGGAAUGAUAAAAGGUUUUAUAUCGAAUGAUUUGAUGUCAUCUCCAGCUAUAGCCUCUUUGAUAGCAAUGGCUAAAGAACAAAAUUAAUUCAAUUAGUAAAAUAUUUUGAAACAAGAUCUAAAUUUUAAUAAGCAUUCAAAGCAACAAAAACUAUUGUCGAAUAUAGCAAAAUUAGUAAAAGAAACAAGCUUUUAGAUUUGUAUAAAAAGAAUUGAAGAUAACUCUUUACGUAACAUAUUUUCGAUAUGGUCCAUAAUUAGUAGAACUUGGUGUCAUUUAUCAUUCGUUUUAAUAUCAAAACCACAAUAAAGCUAGAUCAUAUGUUAUUUUAUAUACUAUAAACAAAUAAAUACUAAUUAUUACUGACCUAAGAUUUUUGCCAACUCCUCUAAUGUUGAAGAUGAUGUUGGAGCAAGCUCAUCAGAUGCUACCAGGAAAAAUUGCAUUGUCGUUAAGAGGAGGAAGGCCAUCAGGCUAAUGAGAAGUUGUCUU
rnacentral:lncRNA from 1 species